GACUGCCAUUUUAUCACAACUAGCUAAAUCUCUAAAGUGAGACUAGUAUAUAUUCCCCUCUGUGGUCAGCUUGUUUUCCAAAAGUACAGCAGCAGUACUAACGUAAUAUUGUAAGCAAACAUCUAAAACGACAUUUUGUUUUAAAGUCAAAUUAUCUGUGGCGUAAAAACACGGCAGUAGUAGUGCGAGGUCCUGGAUGGAUAGCCUGGACCAUGAAACCCUGUAUGUGUCUCCAGAGCAGACGGGACAGCCCACUCUCCCCAGCCCUACCUCGGAAGUCUCCAACUUGGCACUAGGGGGUGGGAAGAAGAUGAAUGGAUCUCUGGACCACCCUGACCAACCAGACGUGGAUGCCAUUAAAAUGUUUGUGGGCCAGAUUCCACGGUCCUGGUCCGAGGAGCAGCUACGUGAGCUCUUUGAGCCUUAUGGAGCCGUCUAUGAGAUCAACGUUCUCCGAGACCGCAGCCAGAAUCCACCACAGAGCAAAGGCUGCUGUUUUAUAACGUAUUACACUCGCAAAUCAGCCUUGGAAGCACAGAAUGCUCUGCACAACAUGAAGAUUCUGCCAGGGAUGCACCACCCAAUCCAGAUGAAGCCAGCUGACAGUGAGAAAAACAAUGCAGUGGAAGACAGGAAGCUGUUUAUUGGAAUGAUCUCCAAGAAGUGUAACGAGAACGACAUAAGAUUGAUGUUCUCACCGUAUGGACAGAUAGAGGAGUGCCGAAUACUUCGAGGCCCUGAUGGACUCAGCCGUGGUUGUGCAUUUGUGACAUUCACAGCUAGACAAAUGGCCCAGUCAUCCAUCAAGUCCAUGCAUCAGUCCCAGACCAUGGAGGGCUGUUCAUCGCCCAUUGUGGUGAAGUUUGCAGACACUCAGAAGGACAAGGAGCAGAAGCGCAUGGCCCUACAGCUGCAGCAACAGAUGCAGCAACUUAGUGCUGCUUCCAUGUGGGGAAACCUCACUGGGCUCAACAGUCUGGGACCACAGUACCUAGCACUUUACUUACAGUUGCUGCAGCAGUCAGCCUCCACAGGGAAUGCACUCAACAACCUGCACCCUGUAUCAGGUCUUAAUGCCAUGCAGAACCUGGCUGCCUUAGCAGCAGCAACACAGGCCACGCCCACAGGCUCCAGUGCCAUGACAACAUCUAGUAGCCCACUAAGUGCACUAACAAGCUCAGGCUCAUCCCCCACCUCCAGCAGCAACUCCUCAGUGAACCCCAUAGCUUCUCUGGGGGCCCUGCAGUCACUGGCUGCUGGUACUGGAGCUGGCCUCAACAUGGGCUCCCUGGCAGGCAUGGCAGCACUUAACGGCAGCAUUGGCUCUGGAGGCUUGUCUAAUGGUUCAGGAAGCACCAUGGAGGCACUGAGCCAGGCCUACUCAGGCAUCCAGCAGUAUGCUGCUGCUGCCCUCCCCAGCCUGUACAACCAGAGCCUGCUGUCCCAGCAAAGCGUCUCAGCUGCAGGCAGCCAAAAAGAAGGUCCAGAGGGUGCCAACUUGUUCAUUUAUCACUUGCCUCAAGAGUUUGGAGACCAGGACCUCCUCCAGAUGUUUAUGCCCUUUGGAAAUGUCAUAUCUGCUAAGGUCUUCAUUGACAAACAAACAAACCUCAGCAAGUGUUUUGGCUUUGUGAGCUAUGACAAUCCUGUGUCAUCACAGGCAGCCAUCCAGUCAAUGAAUGGUUUCCAGAUUGGUAUGAAGAGGCUGAAGGUGCAGCUGAAACGGUCAAAGAAUGACAGCAAGCCUUACUGAAGGUGCUGAGUCACGACAGACUUAGUUAGGAAGGGUGGUGUUAUGGUAAGUGGAGUAUGAAUAACCAACUAAGACUGGUCCACUCAGAAACUUGUCUGUGCAUUACAGGGUGAUGUCUGCUGCUCUGCCUUUUCUGGUCAUUAUUACAUGUCCAGGCAAAGAGACACAUGAAGCUACAUGCAAGAGUUUUCAGGCCAGACUGGAUUCUUCCUGCACUCUGUUGUGAUUAAUGCACUUUGUUUUCCUUUUAACCUAUAAGAGGAACAGGUGUAUUUUCAUUUAAGUUGAAAUGUUAUCAGUUUGCUGUGGUACAUAAACACAUAUGAGUUGAUUGUUAGGAUGUGUUGCACAUUGACAGUUAGGUGCCCAAAUCCACUUGUUUUUUUAUUUCUGGUUCACCUUCCCUUCCACCACCCACACCCAGCAGAAAGCUCCGGAUAGCAGGCAGCAGCUGGAAAAGACGGAGUAACAUUUGAUUUGGAAAAAAUAUUCUAUUACGUUUACAAACCACAAUGUAUGUUUUUAUCACUCUUGUAUUAGGAAGCUCUAUAAUCUCAUUAUUAUUAAUAUUCUAUCACCAAAAUAAUCAGGAACUCAGAUUGUUCAUAAGGAGGCGCUUCCCCAAAACAUGCAAAUUGGCUUUUGACAUAUUUGUCCUCAUUCUGUGUGUGUGUGUGUGUGUGUGUGUGUGUGUGUGUGUGUGUGUGUGUGUGUGUGUGUGUGUGUGUGUGUGUGUGUGUGGCAGAUUGUAAAUCAGUGACUGUGACAGUUAAGCGGCUGAUUGAUGCUGUGAACAUCUUGUUCCUGCUCUCUAGAUUUUCAACCCUGAAUUAAAGUCACUUAAGUCAGGUUUAACCUCCAGCUUAUCACCUUCCUGUUGACAGAGAGAG